AUGUCUAGCCGCCAUGGCCAUGACCAGAUCCACGAUGAGGUUAAAUGGGGCCGGCUGCUCCCUACAGGACGACGAAACUCUCCAUGUGUGAUGAUUCUUCAUGAUAUGUGCCUGGUUCUUGUGUUUCUUCCAGGACAUAGAACUACCUGCAAUGAUUCCUUGUGUGCUUUUGUUCCGGGUUCCUUAGCUUCUUUUGGUGGAUUAGCUACUGUAUAA
rnacentral:rRNA from 1 species